UGCAUUUACCUGGAGGCUUUGCGUGACCCCAGACGCUUAGCCUAGUCAUAAAUAAAUGCCAGAUAAAGCGCCUGAGUCGGACAUUAUUCCUGCACUGAUUACUCCAGAGCAGGAAUAUCAUAUGGUUCAGGCUACAA
rnacentral:snoRNA from 1 species